AUUUUGUUGGAGCCAAACCAGUUUUGGAGGAACUGUACAGAUACCUGAGCACCCAAAACAGGUCAGAUUUGGAAGAAGCAGCAGCAAAGAAUGGGACUGAAUGGGUGUGGAAAAUCCUUCCCGCAGACUCACCUCACAGAAAUGGAGCUGCUGAAGCUGCUGUUGGCAUUGUGAAAAAAGCUUUCCAGAGUCUUGGUCAAGAAUUUACACUGACUUUCAGUGAAUUUCAUACAAUUCUGUACAACGCUGCCAAUCUUGCAAAUGAGCGCCCAAUUGAUGCGAGAAUACAAAGUCGAGAGGGUUGUAUUCAGUACAUAACACCUAACAGUCUUUUGCUUGGACGAGCAUCUCAGAGUGGUGAUGUGAGAAUGUUUGAUUUUUCCAGCUAUUCAUUCAAACGACUUGGAGCUAUGCAAAAUGAGGUCACCAAGUUCUGGAAAAGUUGGAGGCAACUGGCUGGUCCUAACCUUUUUGUGAGGAGCAAGUGGCACACUUCUCAGAGAAAUGUGGCUGUUGGGGACAUCGUCUGGUUGUGUGACCAAAAUGCACUUAGAGGGCAGUUUAUGCUGGGCAAAGUUGUAAGUGCAAGUCCUGACAAGAAGGGUGUUGUGAGGGACGUAAAUGUCCAGGUUGUCCCAAGUUAUUGCACCCCUAUAACAAGACAUGUCGAGCAAAGACCAACUCAUCCACCAAAGAAAGACAAAAUCAAGACCACCAUUCUUCACAGGGAUGUUAGGAGGCUCAUUGUCUUAAUACCUGUAGAGGAACAAAUGGAAAGUCAAACCAAAGAGAAAAAACUCCAGAUGUACCAAGAUGACAAUGGGCUGCGAUCUUCCCAUUGAUUAAUGGAAAGAUCGAGUGGGAGGUGUGAAGUCAAAUCAGAAAGAAGAAGAAAAAAAAAAGUCGUGCGUUCCCACACGGACCUAAAAGCGGGACGGACAAGGAAAAAAAAAGAGAAGACGGAAGUUAAAGCCGUCAAACAAAGAGGACAGGAGUUUGGGACCUUUUGAAUCACAGAUCCUAGUCAACCUGUGUACAACUGGAUGAUCUUUUAGAUGAGCAGAGAGGCAGCCGGUUUUUACCUGCAUCCUCUGGAUCAAUGGUGAACAUGUCCAUACACUGAAAUAAAUGGAAGUAAAAGCAAGGAAAACUGUUUGGUCCUUCGAGUAAAAUCCCUGUCAUUAAGAAUCUGCAUGGGGUCAUCCAUCCCUUUUCAAGUGGGGAAAUUGCACAGUUUAAAAAAGAACUUGACAA